rnacentral:misc_RNA from 1 species
UCUCCGUUGGUGAACCAGCGGAGGGAUCAUUACCGAGUUUACAACUCCCAAACCCCUGUGAACAUGCCUAUCGUUGCCUCGGCGGUGCCCGCUCCGGCGGCCCGCCAGAGGACCCCCAAACUCUUGUUUUAUACAGUAUCUUCUGAGUAACACGAUUAAAUAAAUCAAAACUUUCAACAACGGAUCUCUUGGUUCUG